UUGGAUACUCUGCAUAGUCUGUAAUUAACUCAGCUUCCAUAUUAUCUAGCAUCCAAGAACAUACUAACAGGUCUGUUUGCUCCCAUUUAGUAUAGUCCAAGGUGCUUUUCUCCGGUGGUGCUGGAACUCCAGUGAUGUGCCUUAACUGUCCUCUACUUCCGAUUGCCAUUCUCAUCAAGCGUGCCCAAAGAGAGUAAUUAUAUUGAUUUAAUUUUGUGCUUAGCGUAACUGUAUGAUGACUUUGUAAUGAUUGUUGUGG
rnacentral:lncRNA from 1 species